rnacentral:tRNA from 1 species
UGGGGUGUCGGCAAGCGGUAAGCCACUAGGUUUUGGUCCUAGCAUUCGGGGGUUCGAAUCCUCCCGCCCCAG